rnacentral:lncRNA from 1 species
GCUGCAGGUUCUGCCAUGCUGGGCAUUGAUAGGUAGGACGAGAGAGAGCACGUAGGGCCAGUCCUCUGGGAAGCAGGAGAUGGGUGGCUGUGCUGUCCAGGCAUCUGCUGACAACAUUGGGGGAUAGGGCCUUGGAGAGAAACGUCUAUAGGCCUGGAGACAGCAGGGCGUGGGCGGGAGAGGCAGGCUGAUACCAUGCGGGUACUCACUGCUAGCCCCCAGAUCCAGCCCGAGAGGAGGAGGCUGGCGGAGGGCUGCAGAGGGCAGGUGCAGGACCAGGCUCCCUCCCACCCAGACAAGCACAGUAGCUUAGAAGGC